UUUCAUUCACGAAAUAUUCCAACAAACCCAUGGUACAAUUUAAUAGCUUACACAACACUAGACACAUCCACGCAUUGACAGACUCACUCAGUAUCCAGCAGACUCACCAACUCACAAAAGUAUCCACGGACUCACAAAGUAUCCAACACUUCACAUUUCAUAGCUCUAGAAAGCCCAAUAGUAAUCUCGUUCUUUUCAACUUCAUAAUACCUUUCACAUUUUUUGUUCACCCAUUAAUCUCGAAUACUCUCAUCAAUUAGUCUACUUAAGUCACAUGUUUCCCAUUUUCACAAUCUCAAAUAUCACAUAACAAAUACACAACAUCAAUAUUAAUCAUUUCUCUACCAACUUUACAAUCACACGGCAUUUCAUCACCCAAAUACCUACACAAUGUGUGCAAUAGUUGCACUAACGAACUUCCACAACUAUUGAUUAUCUCGAUACUAAAAUUUAAUUACCAAUACAAGUACAAACAAAUUUACAAAUUCCUUCUUAAAUACCAACAAGACUCGGGGGUUGAAAA